rnacentral:rRNA from 1 species
AUUGAACGCUGGCGGCAGGCCUAACACAUGCAAGUCGAACGAGUGGCGGACGGGUGAGUAAUGUCUGGGAAACUGCCUGAUGGAGGGGGAUAACUACUGGAAACGGUAGCUAAUACCGCAUACCAUCGGAUGUGCCCAGAUGGGAUUAGCUAGUAGGUGGGGUAAAAGCUCACCUAGGAGACGAUCCCUAGCUGGUCUGAGAGGAAGACCAGCCACACUGGAACUGAGACACGGUCCAGACUCCUACGGGAGGCAGCAGUGGGGAAUAUUGCACAAUGGGCGCAAGCCUGAUGCAGCCAUGCCGGGGGUAUGAAGAAGGCCUUCGGGUUGUAAAGUACUUUCAGCGGGGAGGCGUUACCCGCAGAAGAAGCACCGGCUAACUCCGGGCCAGCAGCCGCGGUAAUAC